rnacentral:rRNA from 1 species
GCCGCGGUAAAACCAGCACCUCAAGUGGUCAGGAGGAUUAUUGGGCCUAAAGCAUCCGUAGCCGGCUCUGUAAGUUUUCGGUUAAAUCCAUGUGCUCAACGCAUGGGCUGCCGAAAAUACUGCAUAGCUAGGGAGUGGGAGAGGUAGACGGUACUCGGUAGGAAGGGGUAAAAUCCUUUGAUCUAUCGAUGACCACCUGUGGCGAAGGCGGUCUACCAGAACACGUUCGACGGUGAGGGAUGAAAGCUGGGGGAGCAAACCGGAUUAGAUACCCGGGUAGUCCCAGCUGUAAACGAUGCAGACUCGAUGAUGCAUUGGCAUAUAGCCAGUGCAGUGUCGCAGGGAAGCCGUUAAGUCUGCCGCCUGGGAAGUACGUACGCAAGUAUGAAACUUAAAGGAAUUGGCGGGGGAGCACGGUCAUACUUUGUUUCCUGA